GGCAGUCGGGUCCUACUAACUACAUACCCCCCGCCUCACAGACUCCACACACGCACACAUGCACACACGCACACUUGCAUAUGCAAGCAGUCAGCCAGCGUGAUAAUUUUUGUGGCACAUGCUCCGCUGGCUCGGCGCUCGUCGUUGGACAAUCGCGUCGCAGUCGUCGUCGCCUCGUCAGCGUCGUUUUGGUUUCGCUUGCCGUUUUUUAGUAGUCGCUAUUGUUGUUGUUGUAAUUGCUGUUGUUGGCGGCUCAUUUUGGGGCUCCAUUCCCAUUUAUCGGCGCAUUGUGGAUUCAGUAGAAUCGAUCUUGUCGGGCUUGCCGCAUGCUUGCCACGCCGUGCCAUCAUACACACACAUUUAUAUGAUAUUUGUGUGUGCGUGUGUUAUUUUUUUUUCGUAUCUCCACAAAUAAUAGUGCGUGCACAAACUCAAAUAGAGACACACACAGAGCAGAGAGUGUGUGAGUGUGUUCAUCUCUUGAAUAUUCUUUUCGUCUUUUAUUUUGUUGUGACUCUCGUUCGGAGUGAAGUGUCUAAAGUGCAAGUGCAAGUGUUUUAUGCAUGGAUUGUGCCAAAUAAUCUAUACACACAGACACGCAUACACCUAGGCAGCGUAAAGACAAUAGCAGCAAGUGAUCGAAACGUAUGUUUAAAUAUAUGUACAUACAUAUCUAAAUAUAACUAACAUAAUCAGCAUCUCACAAGUUGUAUGCAUUCGUGUUAUGCAUUUUAACGAUGGCUUUCCACCUGAUCAAAUCCGCAUUGGAUGCCAGCCACCAGCAUCAGCAUCACUCCUUGGUGCGCAAUAAUCACGGCCUGAAUCGCGACCAGCAGAACAACGGCGUCGUUCUCUUAAAAUGUG